rnacentral:lncRNA from 1 species
GACUCUACCUGCAAAGUCUUCAAAAAGUAUCCUAACGAAGUCUAUGGAAAGGUCACUGGUAGGAUCAAAAACCAGUUUACUUUCUGAAUUAAGCGCAUGACAUACUAAAUAAUCAGCGGCCCUAUUAGCUUCACGAUAUAUUUUAACAAAAAUGCACUGCUGUAAAUGCUUCGCUAGAGAUGCGCAUCGGUCAAUGAUAUUUUGGAGUCGCCAAGGAGGUUUAAUCUGUGACCUAACAUAAGAGAACAAGUUUUGAGAGUCU